rnacentral:tRNA from 1 species
UCCUCAAUAACUCAAUGGUAGAAUAGUCGAUUGUUAACUAACUAGUCGUAGGUUCGAAUCCUACUUAGGGAU